GAGGAGAGGAAGACAGCGGCAGCAGCAGCAUCCCCAGGAGGAGGAGGAACAAGAAGAAGAAGAGAAGGGAGACGAUGCCGAGGUAGGAAAAGCUGCACGGUGGGGAAUGGAGGAGCUUCUUCACGAAUGUUGAACAGGACCAGGCCCAGGACAGAACCCUGUUGAUGGCACUCCACUUGUCACUUCUUUCCAGGAUGAAGAGGAAGAAUUGUGUUUUAUUCGUGAGAGCAGCCUUGAAUCCAAGAUGAAAAACAGCAAGAAUCUGACAGUUCAGUCCUAUAUCUUUCUACUUGGAAAUAAAUUCUACAGAAUGCAGAGGCACUCCCUUCCAGUUAAGGAUUUUAACAUUGCAUAUUAUUUUAUGAAGCACACUAAACAUCCAAUGAAAAA